GACGAACGCUGGCGGCGUGCUUAACACAUGCAAGUCGAACGGAAAGGCCCUGCUUUUGUGGGGUGCUCGAGUGGCGAACGGGUGAGUAACACGUGAGUAACCUGCCCUUGACUUUGGGAUAACUUCAGGAAACUGGGGCUAAUACCGGAUAGGAGCUCCUGCUGCAUGGUGGGGUUUGGAAUGUUUCGGCGGUUGGGGAUGGACUCGCGGCUUAUCAGCUUGUUGGUGGGGUAGUGGCUUACCAAGGCUUUGACGGGUAGCCGGCCUGAGAGGGUGACCGGCCACAUUGGGACUGAGAUACGGCCCAGACUCCUACGGGAGGCAGCAGUGGGGAAUAUUGCACAAUGGGCGGAAGCCUGAUGCAGCAACGCCGCGUGCGGGAUGACGGCCUUCGGGUUGUAAACCGCUUUCGCCAGUGACGAAGCGUGAGUGACGGUAAUUGGUAAAGAAGCACCGGCUAACUACGUG
rnacentral:rRNA from 1 species